rnacentral:rRNA from 1 species
UACGGAGGGUGCAAGCGUUAUCCGGCUUUACUGGGUUUAAAGGGUGCUUAGGUGGACAGGAAAGUCAGUGGUGAAAUCUUCGAGCUUAACUCGGAAACUGCCAUUGAUACUAUUUGUCUUGAAUACUUUGGAGGUAAGCGGAAUAUGUCAUGUAGCGGUGAAAUGCGUAGAUAUGAGAUAGAACACCAAUUGCGAAGGCAGCUUACUGGACAGUUAUUGACGCUGAGGCACGAAAGCGUGGGGAGCAAACAGG